AUAUUUAUCCCAUUCUUCUUCUCCAUAUUUGGCCAAGACAAAAGGAAAGAAAGGAAAAGCAAGAACAAAACCUAGGUGGAGGAUUUCAAGAGAAAAAGUGUGGAAAAUCAAGGAAAACAAGUGAAAAAGGUAGGAUUUUUUAACUUAAGCUUGAAAUCUAUUUUCCUUAAGCAUUUCUCCUUAUUUUUCAUGCUUAAAUUACAUGUUUUCAUGAUGAAUUCAUAGCUGGUCAAAAUGGGUAUGGAGAGAGAAAGAUGUUGGAUUGAAUUGAUUUUAAGAUAUGUUAGUGUUUUUAAUUAGUUUAGCAUAUUUAGAAACAAAACAACAAGAAAAGAAUCUAUUUUCCCCAUGAACCUUCAAUGGCCGAACCCUAUGUGAAGUGUAGAAGUAAUGAAUUGAUUUUUUGAUCAAGUGAAUUGGUUGAAAAAAUUGAUGAAAUGAUGAUUUAUGGUGAGAAAAUGGAAUGAGAAAAUUUUUAGUGAUAGUGCACCACAAUGGCCGAAAUUUUCAAGAAGAAUUGUGAGGGUUGUUAGGUUGAAUUUUAGAUUAUUGGAAUUGUAUUUAGUGAAUUGAAAUAUUAGAAAUGAAAUGGAGUAAUUUGGAGCCAAAUCAGACACAAUUGUCAUUUAAUCGGGUAAUAGGCCGAAUUAGGUCAGCACUGCAUUUAAGCGGUAGUCGGAUAAGUUGCAUAUCAUAUUAUGCAUAUACACCGAGCCUGAAUUGAUUUUAUAAUGGUCAAGCAUUAAUGUGGUGAAUUAUGUAUUGUACAUUGUGGAUAGGUGGUGAGAAAAUUACACUAGUAAAAGUACAGAGAUUAUGCUUGAAGACUGAGAUUAGGAGUACAUCGACUCCUAGAACUGUGAGUGAACUUAUUAUCUUCUUAAUUAUCUAGAGUAGUUUUAUACAAAUGUGUGAUUUUAUGAAAAAUGGGUUUAAAUGGUAAAUUGCUAUGUUUUAGGAGAAAUUGUGAUUUUAUAAAAUGAUUUUAUAAAUUUUUUGAAAAAUUGAAUACUGGUUUUGAAAACAGAGUAAUUGGAGACUGCCCGCUUGUGUUAUAAAUUGUGCUUUAAAUUAUAUGGCUUAUAGCAAUAUGUGAGCAUGAAUGGCAAAGUCGGUAUUUGUAUCAAAAUUAUAUAUACUAUGUAUUCAGCCUUAAGAGGCUAAAUUACGAUAAAUUGUCAUGUCAUGCAGAUAAAUAUUUUAUAAAUCAGAUGGUAGAUAAAAUAAUCUAUAAUCCCUGCAGUGGAGGUUCUGUGGACCAACCUAAGAGAGGGGGCACAGAAUCAGAUAUACCUUACCUCGAUCACAGAGCCGUGUGAAGGGUGUCUCUGGAGGUAAAGAUUUGAGUGCACUUCAUGUGGACCACCGCGUGAGAGUGAGACUCAGCCAAUGCCAAGGCAUGGCUAGAAUUUCAGAUGUAAAGAUAUUUAACCGCCUUGGUGGUCUCGGUCAGAUGCCUAGGUCAAGGUAUCAUCGGUAAUGAUUUUGGCAGGAGCCAAGUUUUGUGAGAUACAUAAGCCAUGUUGAUUAAUUGAGUAAACUGAAUAUUCAUGUUAUGAAACUUAUAUUGGAAAAGAAUAUUUUAAUUCGUCUCUAUUUACUCGCCUUUAGAUAGUUUAGAUGAUGUCUGUUU
rnacentral:lncRNA from 1 species